CCGGUUGGCCUGGCUUGGGCACUAUCAGAAUUGAGGCCAUGGUGGAUUAAGAGAGACGAGAGUGAGGUAACAAGUCAACACACAAUGACAUAAUGGAUUUCCAUGAACGGAGAUGUUAUUUCUCUAUUGUACACCUGUUACC
ensembl:ncRNA W05E10.10 ncRNA